GGAUUCACUCCUCCAACACAUCUCCCUCUGCAGGAUACACACUGCCGCUACCGCACGAACGGGGCUGUUACCUGCAAAACACACACACACACACACACAAACGCUGUUACAUAACAGAAGAAACGCUGGAGUCUACAGACUUUGGGACAGAUGAUUUGGACGGAGGGGUGGGCGAUAUUGCAGAGUAUAUCGCGAUACAUCAAGACAUUUCCACGAUGUGCAUCACGAUAUUUCGUUUUUUCUGAAAAUUAAAAAGUUGGAACAGGUAAACU